rnacentral:misc_RNA from 1 species
ACAAACUUGGUCAUUUAGAGGAAGUAAAAGUCGUAACAAGGUUUCCGUAGGUGAACCUGCGGAAGGAUCAUUAAUGAGAUAGGGUUCUUCGCGAGCCCGACCCUCCAACCCAUUGUUUACGAGAUUAUUAUGUUGCUUCGGCGUUGCCGCCUGGGGGUAACACCCCUACCGGGGGCCAUAGGCUUUCGCGCGCGCGCCGAGGGGUUUUUUUAAAACUCUUCAUACUUGGUUUAUUCUAAAAUCAAUUGAAAUACUUCAAAACUUUCAACAACGGAUCUCUUGGUUCUGGCAUCGAUGAAGAACGCAGC